UAAAAAUUUGCACACGACUGACCAUUUUCUCAUUCUUGAGCCGGAGGUAAAUUAAAUUUAUAAUUUCACUCGUCGAUUAUUAUAUUCUAUCGAUAUCCUUGAACGGUUAUAGUGAGAACUUUUAUUCUACAAGCGCAGUAAACUUUUUCUUACGAUUUCUCAUGCCAUUUAAUCCUAACUUUUCGACCCCACUGGUCCAAAGUCUCGAUUCUCUCGUAGCUCGAACACGUUUUUAUUCUCUUUUUUAUCGCAUAAAUGGUUAAUUAUUGAAUCAAUCUUGCGCGAUUAUACGCGACAGUCUAUCAAACGAGAGAUCAUAUCUUAUCGCCGAAUUUUAUAACAACACGCUUUGAUUAGCCUCCUGAAAUUUUUGUUCAGUGAGGUGGAAACGAUAUAACAUCCGUAAUCUCAACCGCUGUAAAUAAGGAAGAGUUUCUCAUUUCCGACAAAGAAGAAAUUUUCUAAAUAUACAUGUACGUCCUCGGAUAUCGACUAUUUAUCAUCCAAAGCUCAGAAAUACAUCCAAUUUUGUUCUAGUUUUUUUCUCGAAUACUGUCUGCCAUUUUUUUUUUUUAACAUUUUUCGUUCAAAAAAUCUCAACGUCGGUUUCGUUGUCCAAAAUCAGCUUAUCAUUUCUUAGAGAGUCCUUAUCGCCAAACUCUAUUAGAUAUUCUGCGGUCUAUCAACGCGUAUCCAUCCGUAAAUCUUUUGAAUGUUCCAUUGAUUAUCCAGGCGAGCAAUUCGAGUAUCAAAGUAAGUCCGUCAAUUCAUUCGUUCUUGUUCGACUCUCGCUCUUCUCUCUUAGAGCGCCAAAGGCUGUCCCUAAAUCCAAUUUGCUAAAUUACUGCGCAAAUAUCAAAGGAAAAAUAUUCCUCCUGCUCAUUUGACGGAGUACGGGUGCGUAAAGAGUCUAGCGCGAGUAGAAAGAGGACGUAAAAAGCGAGAGACGAGAGACCGGGCCAAAGUGAUUUUAUGUGCUUGAAGCUGUGAAAUCACCGAUGACAUCGCUCGACGAAAAUGUAAAUCGCAUAUUGCGGAGAAGCAGAGCAGCUGAAAAAGAACAUCCGAAUGAUCGAGAAAGAAUAGAGAGAAUAGAGAGGCUCUCGAUGGAUGACGACGAGAGCAAAAUUGGACGGGAAGUGGGCAGGCCCGUCCAGGUGGUUCUUGCCCACCCCGAUCAUACUUUUGAAUUGGAUGAGAAUGCCCUCGAAGAAAUUCUCCUACAGGACGAUAUCAAGGACCGCAGUGUCGUAGUGGUUUCUGUUGCCGGAGCUUUCCGGAAGGGCAAGAGCUUCCUUCUUGAUUUUUUCCUUCGUUACAUGAAUACCAGGUAUAAUUUGAAAACCGAAACGGAUGCAUGGCUAGGUUCGGACGAGGACCCCUUAGAUGGGUUUUCUUGGAGGGGUGGAUCAGAGAGAGACACAACUGGAAUUUUGAUGUGGUCUCAAGUGUUCAAAGGGUUGCUACCAAGUGGCGAAAAAGUCGCCAUUAUACUGAUGGACACACAGGGAGCAUUUGACAGUCAGUCAACUGUGAGGGACUGUGCGACAGUAUUUGCAUUGAGCACAAUGUUAUCCUCUGUGCAAAUAUACAAUCUUUCACAAAAUAUUCAAGAAGAUGACCUCCAGCAUUUACAACUCUUCACCGAGUAUGGAAGGCUCGCGUUAGAGAGAUCAGGAAGUACUCCAUUCCAAAGACUACAGUUCCUGGUUAGGGACUGGAGCUUUCCGUAUGAGGCAGAAUAUGGUGCUGACGGAGGAAAGAAAAUUCUACUACGAAGGCUAGAAAUCUCACAAAUGCAACAUUCGGAACUACAGAGUUUAAGAAAACACAUCAAGUCCUGUUUCUCAGACAUAUCAUGCUUCCUCAUGCCACAUCCGGGUCUCAAAGUUGCCACCAACCCAAAUUUUGAUGGUCGAUUAUCCGAAAUUGAAUCUGAAUUUAAAGUUCAAUUACGAACUCUCGUGCCCAUGUUACUUGCGCCCGAAAAUUUAGUGACUAAAAAAAUUGAUGGCCAAGUAGUGAAAGCUAGAGAUCUUUUGGAAUACUUCAAGAGUUACAUCAAAAUAUACAAAGGAGACGAACUCCCCGAACCGAAAAGCAUGCUUGUGGCAACAGCUGAGGCAAAUAACUUGUCGGCAGUAGCCGAAGCCAAAGAUCUCUACUCGCAAAUGAUGGAGUCCGUGUGUGGAGGCACAAAACCCUUCCUGGCAACCGCUCAUUUAGAGUCAGAGCACCAUCGCUGCGUAGACAAAGCUCUCCACCAGUUCCAGAAUAAGCGAAAAAUGGGAGGUGACGAAUUCAGCCAAACCUACAUGGAAAAGUUACAAAAAGACAUGGACGAAUCAUUUCAACAAUUUAAGGCGCACAAUGAGAGUAAAAAUAUAUUCAAGGCUGCGCGAACUCCAGCAGUAUUUUUCGCCAUUGCCGUUACUAUGUACAUUCUAUCAGGCAUAUUUGGUUUAGUUGGUCUUUACACCUUAGCAAACAUUUGUAACCUCGUGAUGGGAAUCGGUUUACUCACCCUUGUGCUGUGGGCCUACAUUAGGUAUAGUGGAGAACUACGAGAACUUGGAACACAGAUAGAUGAAUUAGCCAGUGCUAUUUGGGAAAAUGCCUGGCAUUGUGCGCAUCUCAUACAAAAGUUGAGAUAUAUGAUCCUUUCCGUAUCUUUUAUACUUAUAUGUUCCAUUCCUUCAUUUGGUCUGAUUUGUGCAUACUUUUGCGACCAUCGCAAAGUCUGAUCCCACGCUCCCAUUCGCACUUUUUUAUCGUUUAUAUCAAUUUCAGAUUGAGUUUUUACGAUGAAUCAAACACUCUCGAACUAGUCACUUAUUUUUUUACACACAAGCGUAUUCUGUCAGAUUAUUCCUAUUUAUAUUCUCACCUGCCUGUUGCUAGUUUUGUUAAUGAUUUAUCGUUUUGAAAAUUAAUCCCGUCGCUAACAUGCACGCCUCCUUGAAAAAGGAUCAAGGAUUAGAAAAGUUCAUGAAACCGCUUUAUCAACAAUUCGUGGAAAAAUCUGUAUCUGUAGCCGUGGCUCAGGCAGCAGAGAUGGCAACGAAUUCUACGUUAAGUGCCAACGGCAAGCCUAAACUAUCGUAACUUUCAUUCCCUUACUUAUCCUUCGCCGAAAAAAAAUAUAUAUUCAAGCGUACUGCAAUAACACUAUCAAAUAACGAAAAUAAACUUGUAUUUUUUGCAUGACAAAAUUCAGACAUUUGAGAGAUCAUCAAAAUGCUGUGGAUUUUUUCUUGUCACAUAAUGGCAACGAAUGACGUAAGCUAUGAUAGUUAUGAAUGUAUGUACAGUGUACUCUGAUCAUUAAUCAAAGUCAGAUUGUUGAAAUUAUGGUGAUUAUGACAACCAAUUAUCAUUAUUAUUAUAUUGUUAUAGAAAUAAAGUCUUGUACUUAAAUGCAGUGCCUACUUCGUGCGAAGUAGCUGAACAUCUUUAAUUUUUUAAGUACAAUCGUUCACAAGUAAGAAAAUGAGAUCAUAGCGUUCAACCCUGCCACAAGUGAUAGUCCAUCUGUUAUUUUUUGUCUUGCUUCUCUAAUAUGAGUCUUGUGAUAUUUUUACCACCCCUCAUGCAUCAUUUGAUUUCAAAUUUUUUUUUUGCAUCGAGCCUAUAUGACAUCCAAAAAAAUGAUUCGUUGUAAUUAAUAAUAGUUUGAUAAAAUAAAAGUGAAAUGAUACAAAUGUCACAAACUCUUGUUCAAAUUCCGUAAUUAUUUUUUGAUCUCUACAAAUUACAGAAUAUGCCAUAAAUUCCUAGACAACAGUCAAUUUGGGAACGUCUUUGUGUAUUAAUCAUACGACUUGCAUUCCCCUUUCCAAGCUGACCUAUACAAUUCGUAUUUUAUCGCUGGUAACGGUCUUGCCAUUUGUUUUAGAUUACCUUACAUUAGUUUCGUAACACUACUUCGUUUUGAUUUCUAACACUUUUUACGUUGUUAUUCUUUUCUCGUUUUAUCAUUUUAUUUACUACAUUAUAUACUUAUACAACAGUUUUUAACAUUUGUUCACUUUAGAUAUAUGUGUGUAAUCAGUAUGUUCUUGGGCUCCAGUUUUGGCAUAUGUUUUGAAGAAUUUUUCCUCAUAUCAUCUAUUGUAAUAACAAAGAAUAUCCGUCUGUAAUGACGGUACGGUUUACAAGGGUCUCAUUAGAAACUAAUUUGUAGUCAAUAUAAUGAACAGUGACGACCAAUAAAAAAAAGUAUCAAAAAAUCUUGACCCUAAAAUUAUAGAACUUGGAGAAGCUUGCUGGUUGCCACAGAAUUAUAAUAACUUGGGGAUCAGGAAAUGUUGGAAAGACGUCUAGCUUAAUCUGAAAAUCUAAGUUGAGACCCUAACUAUAAACUUGCGACAUGAUUUUAUGAUUAUAUCCAACAGAUUCAUUUCUAAAUGCUUCAUGGAGAUUUGUAGUUAGCAAACGGAUAACGGAAAACCACAGCAAGGUGCCAUUAAUUUUAUUGAAACCUCUCUAAGAAUUGAAAGCAAGAAAAACAUGCUAUCAAUUUUACAUAGAUAGGAUACGUAUGAAUUAAUCAAACCUUCAUUUUAGCCAUAAAAUUUUCCAAAAUUAGGGUCUAAGGACGCUAUUUCCAUGAUAUGUAUUACGAGCUCUUUGUUUCCUUAAUUUUUAAUAUCAAUGGAGAAGAUUCAGCAGCUUAUUUAUCUUAUUUGGUACGUGCAGGAAUUUUUUUUCCGAUGCAGCCUGAUAUAGUUUCAUUUACCGAAUUCCAUGUUAAGUGUGGAAACAGCUAUCAGGUACAAUACUUGUUGUCAACCCAAUACUGUAAUGAUAGGCAUUGAAUUUUGUUCAAAUUGAUUAUUGCUAGAAAUAAAGCCGUAUUUUUGUAAUUAUAA